UCCUGACGGUAGUCGUAUGCUCGUCUCCGAGACUAAGCCAUGCAAGUCCAAGUACACGUCCUUGAACGACGGAAACUGCGAACGGCUCAUUAAAUCAGUUGCGAUCUACUCGGCGUUCCGCGCCGCCGGAUAACCGUAGUAAUUCUAGGGCUAAUACGUGCGAAGCGCCCGAAGCCGCGAGGCGACGGGCGUUCUCGCCGGAUGUAGGAACCGACCCGGGGACCGCCGGGGCAACCGGCGCCCCGAGACGGGGCGAACCACGGUGAAAUGACGGAUCGUCGGCCCCGCGCCGGCGACUCGCCGAAUGAGUUUCUGACCUAUCAACUCGAGACGGCGGGGUAGAGGCCCGCCGCGGUAACGACGGGUAACGGGGAAUCAGGGUUCGAUUCCGGAGAGGGAGCCCGAGAACGGCUACCACUUCCAAGGAAGGCAGCAGGCGCGCAACUUACCCUAAUCUCGAUUCGAGG
rnacentral:rRNA from 1 species